rnacentral:rRNA from 1 species
UACGUAGGGGGCAAGCGUUAUCCGGAUUUACUGGGUGUAAAGGGAGCGUAGACGGCGAUGCAAGCCAGAUGUGAAAGCCCGGGGCUCAACCCCGGGACUGCGUUUGGAACUGUGUGGCUGGAGUGUCGGAGAGGCAAGUGGAAUUCCUAGUGUAGCGGUGAAAUGCGUAGAUAUUAGGAGGAACACCAGUGGCGAAGGCGGCUUGCUGGACGAUGACUGACGUUGAGGCUCGAAAGCGUGGGGAGCAAACAGG